rnacentral:rRNA from 1 species
UGAGGAUUAUUGGUCAAUGGGCGAGAGCCUGAACCAGGGAAGUCGCCUGAAGGAAGAAGGAUCUAUGGUUCGUAAACUUCUUUUGCAGGGGAAUAAAGUGGAGGACGUCUCCUGUUUUGUAUGUUCCCUGAGAAUAAGGAUCGGGUAACUCC